rnacentral:lncRNA from 1 species
AUUAUGAAAGGUUGUGAGAUUACUUUAUUACCCUUCCCUCAUUAACUGUCAAACUAAGGUAGCCCAUAUUUACAAUUUGUAGAUUGUAACUGUUGGUUGGCCAGAGGUAUAUGUUGCUCCAGAGGUACAAAAAGAUGGAUAUCUUUAGGAGGAAUAGGAGAAAAAGGAAAUGGCUAAAAAAUAGACCACAUGGAUGUUGAUAAUGAAUAUAGCGGACAAGUAUAAUCAAGACAUCAAAUUUAUGUGUAUUGUUUGAUAAUUGAGGUGUGUUUUUGUAUAUUUACCGGUCGAUUAUAAGGAUUUAGCGUAAAUGAAAUUAAAAUAAAAGAAGACGAUUUCGCCUUUGAACUGAGGAAGUUUGUAAACUUGAACAUGAUUUUUUGAGUUUGAUUUCGCCCUUUAUUGUUUCGUUUUGUAAUGGGAUUAAUACGGUACUGAAACCGGGUAUAACAACCGAAAUAAAAAUUUGUG